rnacentral:misc_RNA from 1 species
GUGAGUCAUCGAAUCUUUGAACGCACAUUGCGCCCGCCGGUAUUCCGGCGGGCAUGCCUGUUCGAGCGUCAUUUCAACCCUCAAGCCCAGCUUGGUGUUGGGGCGCCCGGCCGCCUGGCGGUCCGGGGCCCUCAAGUGUAUCGGCGGUCUCGUCGGGACUCUGAGCGCAGUAACUCGCGGUAAAACGCGCCUCGCUUGGUCUGUCUCCGGCGGGCUCCGGCCGCUAAACCCCCCAUCUCUCCCAGAGUUGACCUCGGAUCAGGUAGGAUUACCCGCUGAACUUAAGCAUAUCAAUAAGCGGAGGA